AUGGUAAGAUCAUCAAGCUUUUCAGCUGGUGGGUCUCGGAAGAUGGUGAUAAUGGUAAGAAGUAGAGGAGGAGGACUGUGAAUAUGAUCAUGGAGUUGUUCACUUCCAGGAGCUUGAAGCAGUAUCGAAAGAAGCACACCCAUGUUGAAGUCAAGGCCAUGAAGAAAUGAGCACGGCAGAUUCUCAAGGGCUUAAUCUAUCUGCAUUCUCAUGACCCUACUAUUGUUCAUAGGGAUUUGAAGUAUGACAAUGUGUUUAUUAAUGGUUUCAAUGGAGAGGUGAAGAUUGGGGAUUUCGGGUUUACAUUGGUGAUGCAUGAGCAGAGUAGUAGUUCUGAGUAUGGAGUGAUUGGCACGCCAGAGUUUAUAGUGCUGGAGAUGUAUGAAUAGGAUUUAUAAUGAGCUGGUGGAUAUCUAUUCUUUUGGGCUGUGCUUGCUGGAAAUGGUGACUUGUGAGUACCCUUAUAAGGAGUGCCGAAGUCCUGCGCAGAUAUACAAGAAGGUUAUAUCUGGUGUGAUGCCGGCUGCACUGAGUAAUGUGAAGGAUCCUCAAGUGAAGCAGUUCAUUGAGAAAUGAAUUUAAUGGUAUAACCAAGAGGAUAUGCUAGGAGGGUUUCUUGUUUAAAUCAUUUCAAUCUUUUGAUUUGGGCAGCAUCUUUCUGUACAUUUUGUGAUUUUUCUCAGACAACAAUAUAAUCUUAUGUAGAUGGAUGAGCAAAGGCUGCAGCUUGUAGACCAUUGCUAUCAGUAACCUCCCCACUACAUCCAGAAGCAUUAGCUUCACUUGGAAGGAAUACAAAUGGCAGUGGGAAUGAAUAAUAAUAAGGUGGUAUCCGAAACUGAUUUUUCAGUGUUGGCAACUGCUGUACACCAAGAAAAAGAAGACAUGUCCGUGCUCAGUUCCAUUCUUGAAGAUAUUAAAGCUCUCAUGCACAACUAUGAGGAGUUCAAAGUACUCUUUUCUCCUCGAGAAGCAAAUAAAAUAGCACACAGCAUUAGCACAACAAGAGGUGUUCAUUCUGUAUUAGGCGGUGCGGACGUCAGGAUAUAUGCUUUAGAUGCUUGA